rnacentral:tRNA from 15 species
GCCUCCUUAGCUCAGUGGUUAGAGCACCUGUUUUGUAAACAGGGGGUCCAGAGUUCGAAUCUCUGAGGGGGCUC